UCGGCGAUCUGCAGCUCCGGCCUUCUCUCUUUUUCCGGCCACCUGGUGGUGCAAGCUUGGUGUCAGUAGACUCGCCUCCUCCCCCUUGUUGCAUAUGUGGUGGUGUUUUGCAGAGAUUUGGCCGGAGGAGCUCGAUUUGGAGCCAAGAAGAUUACUGUAGCAGUUAUCAUUUCCGGCGAUAUCUUCCGAUUCCGGUCGUCUCCGGCCACCAAACCGGCGUCGAAGGAGCGGUUUUUCCCAAGGAUCAUGUUGCCCCUAGCCUUGAGCCACGAUUUGCAGUGUGGAGGUCGAAUCGAAGGUUUGAAAUUCCGAGUUACUAUUCACAAUUCGGGUUCAAACUUCUCUUUAAUUGUUGAGGAUGUCGUACCGAGCCCUGGCUCGAUGAAGGAACUCGUAUACGUGAUCGUCGGAAUAGUACUUGUGCAGGAGAAAUUAGUUGAGGUCGGGCGUACAUGGAGUCGAGGCAUAGUCAACAGUAUGGCUUCCGCGAUUGCCUUGAAUUAGGUUUUCCUCAUUUACCUUUCUAUUAGAAUUGCUCUGAUUACCUGCGGAAUUAAGGUUAUUAAGUCGAGAUUUGUGUGUUGUGAUUUUGGUUGAUGUUGUUUGGGGGAGCAGGGUGGCUCCAGGAGAAUAAGGAUGGGUGAUUUAGAAGUGUAAAUUCUCUUUCUACAGGUUUUGGGUUGUCCACUUUAGGGGAAGUUCUGCCUAAUUUUUGGCAAAAUUUCUUCUAAGGUGGGCCCCGCAGGUCCACUUCGGAUUUCAGGGUGAAAUUCGGGGCGGGU